GCCAGCAUGGAUUACUGGUCUGAGUGCUGGACUAUGAUUCUGGAGACCAGGGUUCGAUCCCCAGCUCGAGCA